GACGAACGCUGGCGGCGUGCUUAACACAUGCAAGUCGAACGGAAAGGCCCUGCUUUUGUGGGGUGCUCGAGUGGCGAACGGGUGAGUAACACGUGAGUAACCUGCCCUUGACUUUGGGAUAACUUCAGGAAACUGGGGCUAAUACCGGAUAGGAGCUCCUGCUGCAUGGUGGGGGUUGGAAAGUUUCGGCGGUUGGGGAUGGACUCGCGGCUUAUCAGCUUGUUGGUGGGGUAGUGGCUUACCAAGGCCUUGACGGGUAGCCGGCCUGAGAGGGUGACCGGCCACAUUGGGACUGAGGUACGGCCCAGACUCCUACGGGAGGCAGCAGUGGGGAAUAUUGCACAAUGGGCGGAAGCCUGAUGCAGCAACGCCGCGUGCGGGAUGACGGCCUUCGGGUUGUAAACCGCUUUCGCCUAUGACGAAGCGUGAGUGACGGUAAUGGGUAAAGAAGCACCGGCUAACUACGUG
rnacentral:rRNA from 1 species